rnacentral:rRNA from 1 species
AUAAGUGAAUAGUGAAAUCUGAUGGCUCAACCAUACAGCUAUUAUUCAAACUGUACAACUCGAGAGUGGUAGAGGUCACUGGAAUUUCUUGUGUAGGGGUGAAAAUCCGUAGAUAUAAGAAGGAACACCGAUGGCGUAGGCAGGUGACUGGACCAUUUCUGACGCUAAAGGCACGAAAGCGUGGGGAGCGAACCGGAUUAGAUACCCGGGUAGUCCCACGCCGUAAAACGAUGGAUACUG